GACGAACGCUGGCGGCGUGCUUAACACAUGCAAGUCGAACGCUGAAGACCUGGAUUUUGUUGGGUUGGAUGAGUGGCGAACGGGUGAGUAACACGUGAGUAACCUGCCCUCUUCUUUGGGAUAACGCCCGGAAACGGGUGCUAAUACUGGAUAUUCACUGGCCUUCGCAUGGGGGUUGGUGGAAAGGUUUGUUCUGGUGGGGGAUGGGCUCGCGGCCUAUCAGCUUGUUGGUGGGGUGAUGGCCUACCAAGGCUUUGACGGGUAGCCGGCCUGAGAGGGUGACCGGUCACAUUGGGACUGAGAUACGGCCCAGACGCCUACGGGAGGCAGCAGUGGGGAAUAUUGCACAAUGGGCGAAAGCCUGAUGCAGCGACGCCGCGUGAGGGAUGGAGGCCUUCGGGUUGUAAACCUCUUUCGCUCAUGGUCAAGCCGCAACUGUGGGUUGUGGUGAGGGUAGUGGGUAAAGAAGCGCCGGCUAACUACGUG
rnacentral:rRNA from 1 species